rnacentral:lncRNA from 1 species
UGCACAACAUUUAUAUAAUAAAAGAAAAUGCAGAAUUAUAAUCUAAUACAGAAACAUUGUCAUACUAUGGAUUCAGUUUACCAAUAAGGAAUGAAAUCCGAAAUCAACUAAACAACAUCUGGAACAGUCUACAAAAUCUCUACUACAUGAUCUAAAGACAACUGUCUGAAAAGAUGGGACAAGGCCCCCAGUAGACCAAAAUAAAGAAACAACAUAAUCUAAAAUAACAGGCCUUCUGAAACAAAGAAGGCUCACCACUGCACAGAUCACUUCUCUCUGGAUACUUUACUGAUUAGCCGGGCCCCUAGACUAAGCUUCUGAACCUGAAAGGUAGGGAAGAGGGGUCAAUACAGAUGUACUGGUACGCAGAGCAAAUCCAAAAUAAUAAUUUAUAUUUAACAUAUAUGAGAGCAAUUUAAAAUAGUUCAUAAACAUAUCAUAUGGUAAGGAAUCACAUAGACAUUUUUAAAAGACUCUAGGAAAACAUCUAAACUCUGUGACACUCUUUGUAUUACUUCUGUGCUAGGUAGUGUACCCUACAAUCUGUAAUCCCAUGGGCUAUAUGGGAUCUGCUAUUAACUCGGAAGCCAAGCCCCCAACCCAACGCAAGGGACGGAGUCUCUGAAUCUACUAUGCCACACGGCCGUCGCCAACAUACAAUAAUAAUCUACCCGUAUCGGUAAAUACAGUUUUAGGCUAAGAGUUAAGUGAACUCAUGCCUUCUUCGGGUAACCACCUAACUCUCUUUAUGCCCAUUUUUAGUUCUUUUAACAUGCAUUCUCUGAAAACAUACUCUGGAGUCUUUAACUCUGUCAUGGCAUACAUAUAUAUGGUAUCAUCAUACCAUUGACUUGCAAGUCACAUUCUCUGAGCCAUUUAUAGCAAAUUAUAUCUUAAUUUUCAAAUUAUGAAAUUCAGGACCACCAUAUCAAUAAUUCUUUCAAGAAACUCAUGCUUUAAAAUUCAUGUAAAACUAUGCAAGCAAUUCUCUUUAUCAACAAUUCAACAAACAAUGGUGGUCAUGUCCAAAGUCUAUACCUCAUCCAAUUCUUCUCUUUAACACAAAAUAUAGUUAUAUCAAGACACCCUCUCAAUAAUUCUAAAUCAAUAUUUAAAUACUAUGACAUUGAGAAAACAUCUUUCAAAUCACAAAACAUGCAUUUCAACUCUUUUCCGACAAAAUCAAAAUCUUUAAUUUAUCACACGAGAGGGAGUCCAUAAUUUAUGCUCUAAAACAAUCUUCAAUCUCAAAUUUCAUAUAUAUACGUAUACAAGUAAAUCAAUUUAGGGGGAAAGGCCUAAGGACCAAAUCAAUAAUACAUUUAAACAUUCAUAAUGCAAAAUAAAAUCAUGUAUUUCAAAAAACCCCUUUCUAAAAUAAUGCUUGAAAAUUUUUACAUCAUGUUCUAGUGUUUCCAAGCCCAUGUAGUUAUUUUUUAGGAUAAAUUCCACGUACCUCAAAUUAAUUAAUUUAAAGAGAAGAACUUGAAUCUCGAUUCAUUCCUAGGAAAUCUUGAACUUAAGGCUUGAUUUGCUUGAAUUUCUUGUUCUUGGAGAAAAUCCUAGUUGGAUAUUAUUUUGAGAGUGAAGAGGAAGUUUUUGAUGUUGUAAAACUGAUAGUGAUUGAUUAAUAACACUUAAGGGGUGAUUUAAUUCGUGUGAAAGGUUUUUGGAGUGAGGAAAAGACCAAAAUACCCCUAAGGAACCGAAAAAAAUUGCAUAAUUACAUAAGUUGAUGACCAGGGUUGACGGGCCGUCACUCAGGUGAUAAGUCGUCACCCAGGUCAUCACUUUUAGGAUGGUUUUUACCAUUCAUUGCCUUAGGCUAAUGAACAGGUCGGACGGGCCAUCACACAGCUGAUAAGUCACCAGCCUCGUCAUCACAUUUUGGCAGACAGACACUUCAAAGUAAAAUAAGCAUAACUUUCUACUCAGAUAUCGGAUUAAAGCGAUACUAGUGGCAUUGAACAGAGAACUCAAAGAACUUUCAUUUGAUAGAUAUUAGGCCUCCUAGUUCGUUAUAUACAAAGAGUUACUGUUGAUUGAAGUUGACCCAAGUUUCGACGCUCACUCAAACUCGAAAAAUAGGAAAGCUUUCAACUCGUCCUUGAGUUUGGGGACAUCUAUGAUCUUAAUUCAUGCUCAAAUAGGUUCCCACACUAUAUAAUUUAUUAACAUACAAAAUUUACAUAGGAUUUAUGGCUUUUGGAUCAUUUAUGCAUAGAAACGACAGUUUUCGUUCUAGCACGAAAUGCAGGGUGUUACAACACCGAAGGUAAAUUUAAUUUCUUCCAAUAAUACUACCCCUGAAACUAACAAAUAUACUACUUCGAAGUCUAAGAAGAAGAAAAAUUCAAGAAAAAUAAUGGUAGACAUCCCAAGGACAAUAAUAAUGAAAAAAACCAAGCAAUAAAUCAACAUGUACAAGAAAAAGAAUAGUGCUUUGUCUGUGGCAAGAGUAGGCAUAGUGCUCGAUUUUACAAAUUUUGAAAAAAUGGUCCUAAACCUCAGGUAAAAAUUAUCAAAGAAACAUUUGUGGAGUAAUAAUAGACAUUAACAUGGUGGAGAAUGUUGAUGGAUGGUGGGCUGACUCUGGUGCAAACCGUCAUGUCUGUUAUGACAAAGACUGGUUUAAAAAAUAUGCUAAUUUUGAGGAGCCUAAAACUAUCAUGCUUAGAGAUUCACACACAACUCAAGUACUGGAAAUGUGAGAUAUAAAGUUGAGAUUUACUUUUGAAAGAGUAUUAAUUUUAAAAGAUGUACUUUAUACUCAUUGCAUGAGAAAAAAUUUGAUGUCUAGUUUUCUUCUUAAUAAAGCAGGCUUCAAAUAGAUUAUUGAAUCUGAUCAGUAUGUAAUUAUGAAAAAUAAUGUUUUUAUGGGAAAGGGGUAUGCAUGUGAUGGUAUGUUCAAGUUGAAUGUUGAAAUGAAUAACACAUCUACUUCUGCUUAUAUGCUUUGUUCUUCUAAUUUUUGGCAUACUCAUUGUGUCAUAUAAAUGAUCAUAAUGUGAGAAUUAGGAGUAGUUUAGGAUUAAUUCUAGUGAUCAACAAGAACUUUAAAAAAUGUGAGGCUUAUCGUAAAGAUAAAAUCACAAAAAGACCUCAUUUUCAAGUUGAAAGAAAAAUUGAUUUAUUAGAAUUAGUUCAUACUAAUAUUUUUGAACUUGGAGGAAUUUUUCUCGUGGAGGAAAUAGAUAUUUUAUCACUUUCAUUGAUGAUUUUUCUAAUUUUACAUAUGUUUACUUAAUGAAAAAUAAAACUAAUGCUUUUAAGAACUUUAAAAUUUUUCUCCAUGAAGUUCAAAAUCAGUUUAAUAGAAAAAUAAACAGAAUUAAAAGUGAUAGAGACCAUGAAUAUGAGUCACAUUAAUUCUGUUCUUUUGUUAGAUCAUUGGGUAUAAUUCAUAAAAACUAUUCCUCCUUAUUCUCCUGCAUCUACUGGUGUAGCAGAAAGAAAGAAUAAAACUUUGAUUGAGUUAACUAAUGCCAUGUUAAUUUAGUCUUGUGCACCUUUAAAUUUUUAGGGUGAAGCUCUUUUGAUUGCUUGCUAUGUGUUGACUCGUGUGCCUCACAAAAAGACCAAACUAACACCUUUUGAUUUGUCAAAAUGUCAUAAGCCAAAUUUGAGAUAUCUAAGAAUUUGAGAUUUCUUAGCCUAUGUAAGGUUAAUGGAUCCUAAAAUCUCUAAGUUUGGUAAAAAAGUUACUACUUGUGCUUUUAUUGGUUAUGCUUCACAUAGUACAACCUAUAGAUUUUUUUAAUCUAGAAGAUAGUAUUAUAAUAGAAUCUAGUGAUGCUAUUUUUUAUGAAAAUAAAUUCUCUUUUGAUUCUAAAAAUGGUGAGGGCCAAAGGACUAAAGAAAAUAUUUUUUCACUACCUUGUUCUUCUCCUUCUACUUUAAAAAAUACAGAAAAUGAUGAUUUUGAGUUAACAAGAAGUAAACGAGCUAGGGUAGAAGAAGAUUUUGAUCGUGAUUAUUAUGUUUUAAACAUUGGAGAUUACCCUAUCACGUUAAAAGAAGCUUUGUCUUCACAUGAUAUUAUUAUCUGAAAAAAGACUGUAAAUGAUGAAAUGAAAUCACUAAUUUUGAAUAAAAUUUAGAAGGUAGUUGAUUUGCCACCGGAUUGUAAAUUAAUUGGAUGUAAAUGGGUCAUGCAUAAAAAGUUAAAAUUAGAUGGAUCUGUUGAUAAACAUAAAGUUAGACUAGUGAUUAAAGGUCUUAAACAACUAGAAGGCUUAGAAUUUUUUGUUACUUUUUCUCUGGUAACUAGAAUUACAUCCAUUAGACUUUUCGUUGCUAUUGUAGCAAUUUUUGAUUUACAAAUUCAUCAAAUAGAUGUAAAAACUGCUUUUUUAAAUAGAGACCUAAAUGAAGAGAUUUACAUGAAAAACCGAGUGUUUUGUUGAGGUCGGCUAAGAAAGCAAAGUGUGUAAACUUAAUAAAUUCCUACAUGACUUGAAAUAGGCACCAAAACAAUGGCAUGAAAAGUUUGAUUCUAGCAUGAUUGAUAAUGUCUUUAAAACAAAUGAGUGUGAUAAGUGCAUAUACGAUAAGUCUUAGAAUAAUUCGCAUGUUAUUAUUUGCCUACAUAUUGAUGAUUUAUUGAUCUUUGGCUAUAACAUGAAUGUUAUUGGUGAAACUAAAAAUAUUUUUAGAAGUCAUUUUGAUAUGAAAGAUCUUGAAUAGGCAAAUUUUAUUCUAGGAACAAAAAUUACUAGAACAUAUGAUGGAAUUUUCCUUGACCAGUCACAUUAUUUUGAGAAAAUUUUGAAAAAAUAUAAUUUCCUUGAUUGCAAGCAUGUUGUAACUCUAUUUGAUUCUAGAGUUCACUUGUUUCCCAUUGAAAGUGAAAAUAAUGUUUAAAUCAAAAGGAUUAUUCUAGCAUAAUUGAAAGUUUGAGAUAUGUGACUGAUUGCACUAGACCUGGUAUUACAUAUGCAGUAGAGGGUUUACUAGCAAGCCAAGUAUUGAACAUUGACAUCUUAUAAUGAGAGUAAUGUAAUAUUUAAUUAAAAUGAAAAAUUAUGGUUUGUUCUAUUUAAAAUAUCUUAUUGUACUUGAAGGCUUUUGUGUUGCGGAUUGGAUUACUUUGUCAGGUGAUUCCUUAUCCACUACUAGUUAUGUUUUUACUUUGGGCGAUGGUGCUAUUUGCUGGAAAUCUAAAAAAAAAAAAUUAUUGCUAACUCUAUCAUGAAGGCUGAACUAAUUGCUUUAGCUUCAGCUAGUGAGGAAGCGAAUUGAUUGAGAGAUUUGUUAUUUCAAAUACCUUAUUUUGAAAAACCAAUUCCUCCGAUAUUAAUUUAUUGUGAUAAUAUCACUACAAUUUGUAGAGUUUAAAAUCGUUAUUAUAACAGGAAAUACAGACCUAUAAGGAGAAAACACAAUAAUGUGAGAUCAUAUUUGACAAAUGGUACUAUUAAUGUUGAUUAUGUCAAAUCUUGUGAUAAUCUUACAGAUCCAUUGACUAAGGUCUUAGCAAGAGAAAAGGUCUGGAACACAUCGAGGGGGGUGGAAUUAAAGCCUAUUGAAUCUUGAGUCAUAUGUGAGGAAACCCAACCUGGGGUCUAGAGAUCCUAUAACCAGGUUCAAUGGAAAAAACGAAUCACAUGUUGACUUGUUGUGAAAAAUGCACUAUUUUUUAUCCCUCCCUAUAGUGUGAGUGCAUUUAUCUAUAAUGAUUGUGGGGUUGAGUUUAAAAUUUUUUUUAAUGAUAAUCUAUAGCUCGUAUGGUGGGGUUCUAAAAUUACAGAAGCACUCUCGACGGAUUUCACAUAUGUGAGUGUGGAGGGAGGCUGCUGCCUAUUAGAAUUAGGCUCAUUCAUAAAAGACACUCAUUAAAAUUGGGGUAGUACAAGGCUGUAACAUGCUGCUAUAAAGCUCAUGUCAACACCUUGACUAUUAUGUGCAAGAAUUACUUCUUUACUAAGUGGAAGUUCAAUGCAGAGCACACCUUCAUUAUGCAUGGUAGUCUUUCUUCAGCUAGUAGACUCUCUUAUUAAUAUUAAAAUGAGUGGAGAAUUGAUGUAGUUUUAAGCAUUCUAAUAUUAUUAUUAUUAUUAUUUAAUAUUAUUAUAAUGCAUGAUUCUUGAAAGUUAUGCAGCAUAAUAGUGCAUUAUUGUUGUUGUUACUUUGCAUGAUUGUUGCCUUUAUUUUUAAUGUCAUUAUUUGGCAUAAUUCUCACGUUUAUGGUUACAUUUUCAGCUUCCAAAAAAACACCUAUUUUAUUUGUAUUAUGAGCCAUUAAUCAUAAUAAUUAGUGGUGGUAGGAUGUGGAUAUACGUUUCAUUUAAUUUUUGCUUUUUCUUUCUCCAUUAUCCUAUUCUUUAUGUGGUGUAACUCAUGUAACUCUUGUAACCAUUGUAACCUCUAUUCUAUUUAUCUUCCCAUUUAUACUUAUUAUUCAUUGCAUGAAAUAUUUAUUCACCUAUAAAUAGAGGUGUUUUUGUAUGUUUUUGAUAUACACAAGAUAAUAUAGAGUUUACAAAAGAUAGGAAAAAAUAGAGUUCAUUAGUUGAAGGGAGGUGUUUUUUUUGUGGAGCUUUUAACUCAACUCUUGUCCAGAGUUGUUGAGUUGUUCUUUGUGAAAAGACUGUUGUAUCCUGGAGGGGACAAGUCAAGAAUAUUACUAUAGGACUGGUGAAACAAUUUGUUGCAGUUGAUACCAAACGAUAUCUAAAAGAGCACGAAAACAGUCCGCAAGAUAGGAAAAAAUAGAGUUCAUUAGUUGAAGGGAGGUGUUUUUUUUGUGGAGCUUUUAACUCAACUCUUGUCCAGAGUUGUUGAGUUGUUCUUUGUGAAAAGACUGUUGUAUCCUGGAGGGGACAAGUCAAGAAUAUUACUAUAGGACUGGUGAAAUAAUUUGUUGCAGUUGAUACCAAACGAUAUCUAAAAGAGCACGAAAAUAGUCCGCAAAUACACAAACAGUCCACACACACAAGACACUAAACGAAAACAACAAACUCAAACUUAAACGAUAAAAAGAUAUGUAACUUAACACAAUGAGAACUCAUAAUGCAGCAACUAAAGAGUGUAUAAAUACUCUAAAACCUCCACAAAAGAAGUUAACAAGCAAUACGUUCUUACGGAACACAAGAGGAACUCAGUUCACUCAAGCACUCUCGUUUCUAGCCGAUACAUACAACACAAGAAGAAACCAUUUCUGGUGAUGUCAAAGUGAUGGUCUACUCUCUUCUUGAGUGAAAAUUGAUGUUCAAUAUUACAAGUGAUUUCAAGAAUGAGCUAACUAAGAAAAUAAGACUAAGGGUUCCUACUUAUAGUCUAUUGCAAAAGAGAUGGGAAAUGACACAUUUACCCUUAAUGAAGGGGGUGGAUUUGGAGUGUAUAAAUGGGGCUGACUUGUAGUGUUUUUAAGACACUUAAGGAAUGUCUUCACACUUUAAUACAUACACUUCCUUGGAUGAACUUAAGACAUGCUCAACUACGUCUAUUUUCAUAAACGCGCCUUGUAGUCUUUGUAGUUCCCGAGCUUGGACAAGGCUUUGAAAAAGGCUUCAAAGAUCUUUAAUUUCUUUACAAAUCCUAAACGUGGACUUUAACAAAAACUUGUAAUCCUUGUGCUCUUCAUGCUUGUAUCAUCCUCUCCACCUUGAAAGGAAUUUAUCCUCAAAUUUGCACCUUACAAAACCAAAGAGAGGGAAAACAUACACAUAAUCCUCAUGAUAUGAGGGUUAGUAUUAGUACCACAAAUUAUAUAGACAUGCCAAGGGGGUACACUUUUGGAAUACAACCAACAAUCCUUUGUUAUGAUCAUGAAACACGUACCACAAGCAUCACAAAGGACAUGACUAAGAUAAACAUCAAGGAAAGAGGAUUGCAAUCCAAAACUAUCAUAUAUGUCAUCAAGCCAAGGUUGUUCACAUUUGGAAUAUACCCAUGGGUCCUUUGUGUGUGACAUGAAAAGCUUAGUAUGAAUGGCUCAAAGGAAGUGUCUUUGGAAAAUAUCAAGAGAUAAGAACACUACAAUGGUCUUCUCCAAUGACUAGUAACUAUCGAACAUUCAUAUCAAUAGCCAAUUUGAGACCGAGAAUGAAAGAUUUAUAUUCAGCCAUAUUAUUGAUGCAUGGAAAGCAUAGUUUGGCAAUAACUGAGUAAUGUUGACCAGUUUCUAAUAUCAAGACUGCUUCAAUUCCUGAACCCUUGAAAUUAACUGUCUAUCAAAGAAUAAUCUCCAACUUGGGUAUACUUUAUUAAUAUCUUAUCCUACAAACAAUAACUCUUCAUCUGGGAAAUAAGUUUGGAGUGGCUCAUAUUCUUCAUCAACUGGAUUUUCUAUUAGAUAAUCUGCUAGGGCUUGCCCUUUGAUUGUUUUUUGAGUUACAUACAAUGUCGAACUCACUCAACAAUAUUUACCAUUUGGAAAAUUUCCCUGUGGGAAUGGCCUUUUGGAAUAUGUACUUCAAAGGAUCCAUUCUAGAAAUGGGAUACGUUAGAUACGACGUUAGGAAGUGCCUCAGCUUCUAGGCCACCCAGGUUAAUACACAACACGUCCUUUACAAUAAAAUGUAAUGAGCCUUAUAUGGAGUGAACUUCUUACUCAAGUAAUAAAUUAAUCUUUUCUUCUUUUUGGUUUUAUCAUGUUGCCCUAAGAAAUAUCCAAAUGCAUUGUCUGAAACCAAUAAAUAGAACAACAGAAGACUUCUUUCUUUUGGUCGAACUAGUAUCGGUGGACUAGAUAAAUAAUCCUUGAUUGUGUCAAAAGUUGUUUUUCAUUCUUUGGUCCAUUUGUUUGGUGCAUCUUUAUUUAACAUCUUGAGGAUAGGUUCACAAAUAAUAGUUGACUGAGCUAUGAACCUGCUGAUGUAAUUCAACCUUUCUAGGAAACUCAUGACUUCCUUCUUUUUCUUCAAAGAAGGAAUUUCUUGGAUCUCCUUAAUUUUUAAGGGGUCAAGAUCAAUGCCUCUUUUACUAAUAAUGAAAAACCAAUAAUUUCCUAGCUGGUACCCCAAAAGCACACUUGGCAGAAUUCAACUUCAAAUUGUACUUCUACAAUUGAUCAAAGAACCCUCUCAAGUAGGAUAAGUGGUCUGAACUCUUGUGGGACCUGAUGAUCAUAUCGUCCACAUACACUUCAAUCUCUUUAUGGAUCAUAUCAUGAAAUAUGGUUAUCAUUGCUCUUAUAUACGUAGCACUGACAUUCUUGAGACCAAAGGGCAUCACCAUAUAGUGAUAAACACCCUAAGGCAUGAUGAAAGUUAUUUUCUGUGCAUCUUAUUCAUCCAUUAGUAUUUGAUGAUACCCGAUAAAAUAUCCACGAAUGACUGCAUUUCAUGCCUUGCACAUUUGUUGAUGAGAAUGUGGAUAUUGGGUAAUAGAAAGUUAUCUUUAGGUCGGGCUUUGUUUAAAUCUCUAUAAUUGACACAAAUCCUGAUCUUUCUAUCCUUCUAUGGUACUGGAACAAUAUUGGCUAGCCAUGUUGGAUACUUUGUAACUUCAACUACAUUGGCUUGGAUUUGCUUAGUGACUUCUUCCUUGAUUCUCAAAUUCACAUUUGGCUUGAAUUUUUGAGACUUUUGCUUCACAGGAUUGAACCCUGGAUCAAUUGGUAACUUAUGUGAUACUAAAUCUGUACUCAAUCCUGGCAUAUCGUCAUAGGACCAAGGAAAUACAUCAAAGUACUCUUUAGGUAACCUGAUAAGUUUUGUAUUCUGAUCAUCUGUUAGAUGCACACUUAUUCUAGUUUCUUUGACUUCACCCUCAUCACCAAGAUUAAUUACCUUAGUCUCCUAGGUUGGGCCUUUCUUGAUCCUCAAAAUUCUUUAGUUCCUCUGUUAACUGGUAUGGGGCCAUUGUUUCUUCUUCAUACUCUUCUCAUUCAUCAUUUUUGCUUUAAUGUGUUCAUUUAGCUCUUGACAUGUCAUGACAUUGGCAGGUUUUAAAUUAUUAUUACUCAAAACAUAAACAACACAAGUUAGAUUAUAGUGAUCGAAUAAUGCAACAAAAAAUAGAAGACAAAUAUUUUCACAAUACGAGAGGCUUUCAUUGAAUUUUUAAAAAUUACAAAUGUUGGCUAUGAUCCGCACUAGUGUAGGUCUGAGUUUUUUGGAAAGCAUAAAACAUGAAAAUAAGGUAAAUAAACUUAAAGGGUGGGUCUCGGGACUCAUUCGAACUACCAUCUAUUUUGCAAACAUAAAAUUUCAUCCUUUCAUCUGCCAUAUCAAUCGAGGAGUCAUGUUUAGAGUGGAAGUCCAAUUUGAUAGCUUAUCCCCUAGUUCAUCUGUCUUAUUCUCGGUCCUUUUGGGAAAAUCUUCUAUAAUAGCAUCACGCUCUUAGAACAAGUUCCCUAUUCCAUACUCGAGACCAUCGCUUAUAGGCUUUACAUAUAUAGGGAAUGACUGGUACAACAGAGGUAACAUCUUCACCAAUUCUGGACCUUUCUUCUUCGUAUCCCUUUCAGAUCUUUAUUUGGCAUAUAACCUAACCCAUAUUUGGACAACUUUUCUAGAAUCACAAUAGGCUCAAUGAUUCCAUCCAAAUUCUUCCGUAAGUCGCAUCCAGGAUCGAACUGCUUCUCAGCAUAACAUUGCCAACAUCUUAUAGAUCAAAGGCAUUGGCUUAUACGGAGUUGGGUCUUUCUCAUCCGUAUUCAUGAUCACCACCGUAUAAAAAUUACUUUCUCUUGGGACUUUUUAAUCACAGAAACAUAACCAUUAGGGUGACUCAAAUGACUCCCUUUUUCAUGGAUGACCACUUUAUUAUUUUCCUAUACAAAUUUCACUAAUUGGUGUAACGUUGAAGAAACAACCCCCGCUGCAUGAAUCCAAAGCCUUCCUAAGAGAAGAUUGUAACUUAAGGCAAUGUCCAGCACUUGAAAUGCUACUAGGAAUUUUACAGGCCUUAUUUGAAGAUGCAACUUAAUUUCCAUGAUGGUGUUUCUCUGACCCCAUCAAAAGCUCUUAUAUUUACUGAGUUCUAAUAAAUUUUUCCUAUAUCAUGGUUCAACAGAGUCAAAAUAGAUAAUGGGCAGAUAUUCAGACCUGAUCCAUUAUCAAUUAAUAUCCUAUUGAUGAUCUUGUCUUGACAUUUGAUAAUGAUAUGCAGUGUCUUAUUAUUCAUUACUCCUUCGAAGGGAAACUCAUCUCUACCAAAGCUAAUGCGAUGGUCUUCCACUACUUUACUUAUCAUGGCCACUAAAUUUUUGAUACUUGUGCCUACGGGUGCGUAUGCUUCUUCAAGGACUUUCAACAAAACUUUUCUAUGAUAUUGAGAACUCAUAAGCAAUACCUAAAUAGAAAUUUGAGUGGGAGUCUUCUCUAAAUAUUUAAUAAUAGAGUACUCUUUCGGUUGUAUUCUUCUAAAAAAUUCUUCAGUUUCUCCUCCAGUGAAUGGAUUUUUUUAGCACUCUUCUUGUAUUCAUCAUUAGCAAUUUCUUUUGGAGUAUAGCAUCUUCAUGAUCUAGUCAUUCCUUUUGCAGUUCCAGCUUUCACUAUAAAUUGUUCUCUUACAAGCAUCAAGGCAAAGGCUUGAUAAGGUGCAAACUUCUUAGUAACACUCAAGGCAGCCACUGCCUUUUGUGUUACUUUUACUUUUUCCAUUUCUUCAGGGAUAGCCUACACUAUAGAUUUUCUCACCACCAACUCAUCAUCUAUUUCUAUCAUACUGAUGGUUGCCCCUUCAUGGUUUGGGAGCGGGUUGGUAGUAAUAUUUGGUGGUGUUGUUUGAAGCGAAAUCACAUGUGAUCAAUCAAAUUUCAAAUCUUGAGCUUCAUAUUAAUACAGUCCUCAGUUGUGUAUCCAGUACCCCCUGAAUGAUAUGCAUAAUGUUGAUCGACGUGGAGAAAUUAGGAAUUGGUAUUGGCGGGUUUUGGUGGGAUAGGUUGGAUAAGAUCUACUGCCUUUAACCUUUUGAAUAAUUGAGUUCUAGUUUCAGCCAAAGCACUGAAACUCCUAGUGACUUUCUAUUCCUGAUGCAGACGAGGAAGAUUAUAGUCAUUUUGGUUGGUGGGAGGAGGGACUUGAUGGUAAUUUUGUUUAAUUAGGGAUUUUUGGUAGGCUUGAAAAUUUGAGAGUGGAGCUUGGUAAGGGGGCUGAUGAUUUGGCAAUGAGGAUGGAUAAUUCUGUUAAUUGGAAAAGAAUUUUGGUUGUGGAACUUAGGGACUAGGCUGGGUAUAAAACAUGGGUUGAGGAUUUUGUAGAGUUAGAGGGUAUACAGACGGUAAGGAUAAUUUCCCAAAAUCAAACCCAAGAGAUUUCCUUGACUUUUGGUUUGGACUAGAGGAUACGAAGAACACAUUAUUUCUCUUUUUCUUUGGGAAUUCUUAAGAUCCAAGGUGUUCAAAGGCUUUGUUGAUCUUCCCUGUCCUUAUUCCUUCCUCCUCUAUUUUACCUAUCUCAACCAAAUUAGGGAAGGUAGCACGAAUCACUGAUAUCAUCUUAUCAUAAAACUCUUCUUCCUAAGAUCGGUAAGUACAACUACUAUUUUUUCUUUCUGUCAUAGGAGGUCGUACCUUUGCUUCAUCUUUCCUCCAAUGAUAGGCAUAUUCACAAAAGAAUUCAUUAGACUUUCGAUUGAUGCAAUUCAAAGAAUAUCAGUUAGGAACCAUCUCGACGUUGUAGGAAAAUCUAUCGACAAAAUCCUAGCCAAAACACUCUAUUCAGGCAACUUUUUUAGUUUUUGUGAAGCAAACCAUUCUAAUGCCUCUCCACUUAGGCUUCGACUGAAGAGCCUUAUCAAUAAUUCUUAAUUUCUACCAGCGCCUAAUGUUUGGUCACAAUAUCCUCUUAAGUGGGCAGUAGGAUUUCCAGUACUAUUGAAUGUUUCAAACUUAGGAGUUUUAAAUCCCUCGGGCAAAUUCAAAUCGGGGUAGAUGCAAAGGUCAUCAUAACCAAACCUUGUUGCAUUGGGCAAACUAUAUGUUUUCUUCAUCUUGGCGAUCUCUUCUUUUAUCAAUAGUAGCUCCCUAGCAUGGUUGUCUUCAGGAACCUUAGACUCCUUUUCCAUCUCCUCAUAGUAGUCGAUUUCUGGGUUUUGGGGGAAUGCAUGGUAAGAUGUAGAUAUUAUGGUGGCUUGGAGGGUAGUGGGAAGGAUAUUUUAGGUUAGCAAAGGGUUUUGGGCAAUAUGAGUGGAGUUUUGAUAGGUGGGAAUUAAGUUUUGAGGAAUAUUGACAUUGGUAUUAAAAGUGGGAUGAGUUUUUUUGGGAAACAAAGGCAUUUGGAGAGGUAUUUUGAUAAUUUGGAGUGUAGCUUUACGGAUGGUAAGCAUUUGGAUUAUUGUCGUGGUCGGUGUUAUGAGUUUGGCGUGAUGGAUUGAUGGGAUUAAUAGGAGGUCUAGGCAUAGAAGCGGAGGGUACGUCAUUUGGUUGGUUGUCAUUGUUAGGAGAUCUAAAAUGAGGGAAUCAAAGUGGAAGCACAUGGUUAUCUAAAGCUGGCGUAUUAGGAGAAAUGGCCAAAUUAGCCAUAUCUUUUUAUCGUUGUACUUCUUCUUAAAGUUCCUCUAUUCUCCAAGUUAAUUCGGUGAUCGUCUCACCUUAUGUUGUUAUCACACCGUCCCUAACAGUAAUUUUGGUGAGAGUGUUUUCCUUGCUACUACUAGUCAUUCUUUUCUCUUCACUAGUGAAACGACGGUCAAGGGAGGAAUUUUUAUUUGCCUUAAAUCUUAUGAAGUAUUGAUGCUCCGCUGGUUUUUAUCACAGACCAAUUUCUCUUUAUCAUCUGAUAAAGAAAAACAACUCAAAGGGUAACUAUGUUAGCUUCUGUUCAUAAUAAGAAAUACAAGAUAUUUGACGAAAGGUAAACACUUAAAAGCUGCUCAUAUUAAAGGUAAAUUGAUCCACAGAUUAAGUAUUGAUAUGGAUAGAAGUUUGUGUAUUCACUUUUGGUAAAUAAUUUUGACAGGAAGGUUGACUUUUUCAAACAUAGAUUCUUCUGCUCUUGGACUUGUUGAAUUCUGAAAUCUUCACCAUAAAUGGAAAAAUAAUAUAUUUAAAAGAUAAGGGCUGAGUCUUAUGUAGGUUGCCUACGUAUCUAGCCAGGGAAUUCAGGCCCAACAUAGUUCAAGUUACAUACAGAUAAUCUCAAAGUAGUUUGAAUUACAUCAUAGUUCAAAUUAAAUAAAGGCAAAGUCCAACGUAGUUUGAAUCUAAUUAUACCUUCUCUAAAGUAGAUAAAGAGACUAGGCUCAAAAAAAUCUUCCUACGUACCCCCAUGGGAUCAAGUCUCACAUAGUUCUUGAUUACAAAGACAUCCUAAGGUGAAGUAUAAACCUAAGUUCUACCAGAGUUGCUCUUUGUUAGUUUCAAUAAUCGAGUGACAAUCCUACGCUCUCGUCACCCGGACCUUUAUCUGCUUUGGUUGUUUUCUUUAUGGAGAAAUUGUUUUUCAACGUUAGGUUUGAAACAUUAUUAAUAGACCCUCUUGCGUGAUGCUCAAAUUUUAAGGCCCUUGUAGAUACCCUAGAGACGUCAAGGAUUCCCUGAUCGAUAUUAGCAAUAUGCCUUUUCACCAAAGUUGUUUCUACAUUAAUCGUUAUGACCUCUCCGUGUAAUCUUUUUUCUCCCUCUUUCCAAUUCUGCAAAUUUCUUCCUUGCUGCAGCUAUUUUUUUUGGUUUUAGCAAUUUUCUUAACAACAAAUCUUUGGUCUCCUCAUCACUCACCAAGUGGAUAAUUGGAAUUGGUGAAGUGAUACUUCGUUCUGACAUCUUCAAAAGUCAACCUUCCUAUUUAAUAGAAGUACAAUUUAGAGGUUUUCCAAAAAGUUUUAGAAUUUCUAACAAGUCUAAAAGACAUGGAUUUUUUUUUUUGGUUGGACUUUCAGUUGGUGAGUUUAUAUUUCUUCCUAAAGAUUCUAGAAAAGAAAGGACUGGAUCCAUUUAUCUUUAAUCAGAGCAUCACAUAGAAUAUAAAAUAAUUAUAACACAUAAUAGUAUAAUGAUCGCACUUAAAUAUUCGCAUCCUAAAUUGGGUAAUCCUUUUAUGCCAGGGGUGAGCCUAAACGUCAGAUAUUCGUGAUUAGGAUAGAUUGAUUCGAGCCAUUGACAAGGAUUUUUCUAACAUAUAAUGUCACAUAAAAUAUGAUCGUUGAUCGUUGGGUCGCGAAUAUCCAUCGACACAUAGGUGGAUAUCCUAAAUGUAGAGUCGCUAACAAGAAUCGACUCGACUAAGGUAUAUGCAUGCAUACUUAAAUUGAAAGUGUGGCAUACCUCUAUCUUAAGUUUUUCUAAGAUGUGGAUAGACACGGACUUGAAUUUCCUAUAUGAGAAGGCACGUGGUCCCCCGACAGUAAAACACCCACUCAGCCCACGUAUGUGUCGAAUCUCUAAAGAAGGUAUUUUGAAAGAAUUUUGAGAAAGUACAAUGUACAAUCCACGUGUACAAUGUGUGUGAGUGUUAGUUUUCCAGAGUGGAGGAGAUAUGAGCGGAAUGACAGUGAAUAUGAAAUUUAAAUAAAUAUCCACGAAAGAAUUAGCCACAAAAAGUUAUAAAAUUCCUUUCGGUUAGAACCUAGAUAAACCCAAGCAGAGUCAUCAUUUCUAUUACGACGCAUUUUAAACUCUAUAAAAGCAUCAUAACGUUGGCAAAUUAUUUUGAAAAAUAAAGUAGAAGGAAAAAGAGUCACCACUUAAUUUUAAAAAAUAUUAAGAAAAUAGUGUAAAAAGGAUAUUUAAGAAAUCCUAGGAUAAGGGUUCAAGUAAUUUUUCAGAGAAGGGGUUAGGCAUUUCAAAACAUUUGCAACUGCGGUUCAUCGAUGGGUUUAAUAUUUUUGGUGGCCAAAGAAAAUUUAUAAAGCAUUUUUUAGUUAAAUUCCUAACAAUUCUAUCAAAUUUUGCCAGAGUUUGUUUUAUCAAUCUUAUAUUAAGAGAAGGAAAUUUGAUUCAACAUUUAAAGUGAAUGUUUGACUAAAACACGAUAAGAAUUAGUUUGAAAUAUUAUCCAAGUUAAAAUAUCUUUUUUAGGAGAAGCCAAAAAGGAUUUAAUGAAUUUAUUAGAAUAGUUUAAAUCUGUAACCUAUGCGACUUAACCAAGAAGAGUAAUAAUAAAUAAAUUGACCAAAAUGAAAAUAACCUCUUUUGGAGACUCAUCUAAAUUAACAAAAGUUCUGGUCAAAGCAAAUGUUAGUGACACAAAUUAUAUAAAAACUAAGAAUAAACAACGAUCUUAGGCCUUCGCCCAAAAUCUAGUAUUUGUCAUUUUUACCACUUCCUUUUCUGAUCUUCUGAUGCGGAAUAGGUCUUAAAAAAUAAUGGGUAUGAAUAUUUAGAACUCAUUUCUCUUUUUUCGUUGAUCAAGUGAAAUUAGUUAGGCUAACUCAGUGAAAAUUCUAUAUGUUGGGCUUCCGCAGCCCAUUGAGAUGGUGCAAAUGGAGUCCGAGCAGACUCGUACUGAUUUCACAUGCGUCAAAAAAAGAAAGGAAUUAGUGAUAUGCAGACAAUAAUUGAGACGAUAUCUCGUAAUGGAAUCAACUCUUAAUCAAAAUCAAUGGAACUGCAUAUUCAAUGCUAGAACACUCCUAUGACUGUAUUUAGUCUAAUAAAAGAAAUGAAUAUCGAGAAGGGUUACUGACCUUUUUUGCAGUAGAGGACCAAGAAGACAAGUCCAAAGAUCGAUUCCACCACAUACGUCAACUUCCGAGUUGUUCGAACGAUGAAAAAACAAUGAGAGCAGCGUGGGUAAACCAAAGAAACUAGAGAAUUUAGUGAAUGGGAGAGUAAGAUAAAAACUCAAGAUAUUCCCCAACUUCUUUACCACUUAACUCUAUACCCUAAGGGGUGACCAAGACCUCUUUUAUAGGAAAAUUAUAGGUUGCCUGGCUUUUCCAAAAAGCUUCCAAAAUUUUAUUUUUUUUAAAAAAAUUAAAUUUAAUGUCCUUGAGAAGAUAAAUUACAGGUUAAAUUUAGUGCUGAAAAGAGAUAACAAAUAACCUUUUUUCAGUCGAUUUGAAUAACGAGUGACGGCUUGAAGGUGGAGAGGCUUGGACCCAUAGGUUGAAGCCCUAAAGCCAUCGAAUCGAAGAAACAAAACCCUCUCUAACUGAUGGGUACUCAAUUUUCUCCUACUUUCAGCGAUUACAAAGUCUUGAAAUUUAUUUUGUUUCAGCUAAAAAGUUGACGGGAAGUGAUGGGAUAGUGACAAAAGAGAUCA